CCUUGCUGUCCCAGCUCUGCUCCCUUUGUCACUAUGCCCAAGGCCUGAGCUCAGUGUCCUACUGUGGGGCAUCUCCAGGGCCAUCACCCUCGCCCACCUCCUAGCGCUUGCAAACCUGCUCUGGUAGAUGGCAGCCACCUGGUACAAUAUCUCUAUAUAGCUGUAUAUUUUAGAAUCUAGGAGCAGUUUUUUUAAGGACCUAUUCAUUGAGAAGGUAUAUUCCUGCUGAUUCCCAGGCCAUCCAAUAGGCUCUCUGGACCCUGUCUUUCCCCUAAGAAAGGUGGGAAUCAUGAGUAUCCUCCCUUCAGGUCAAGGAGCCUCUGCUUUCCUCAGGAGGGUGGGACAGUGAGUGAGGAGGGGACCUGUGGCCUCUCAAACUGCCAGCCCCUCCCCACGCCCAGUGACAGUUGCUCCAGUUGGGGUUUCCAGGGCAACCCUAAAGAGCUCUACAGGUACUUUGGCAGUUGGCCUGUAGAACAUCCACUUCUCCCAUGCAGUUCCUGGGUGCAGAACUCUCUAGAAGCAGGGACUUCUAAAAUGACUCAACCCAGACUUUCUGUUAAGACCAGGCUGCUCUGCUUCUACUGAGCCCACGGAAACAUAUCUGAAACUUGCUGGAUCACUAGCUCCGUGUGGCAGCCUGGGUGCUGCCGCAUCUCAGAUAUACAAUGCUCCACCAUUAAGGAUUCCUUCCCUGAAUGAAGGCUUCUAUUGAACUACCAUUUCUUUGUGGGGAAGAUGUACUCCAAGCUGCCAGCAUUCUUUUGUCCUCUAAUACAACCUGUCAAGACCCCCUUCAGACCAGCAGCUGGGACCCUCCAAGCAACAGUUCCCAGAAGCCACGACAUGUCCCUGCAGCUUUCAGGGAGGGUCACAGAGGCCUCCUAGGCCCAGUAUUGCUUAUGGAGGAAGGAAGAGAACGGUUGGACCCCAGGUCAAGGAAGGAGCCAUGCAACUCAAAGAGGAGGGUGCCAUCUGACUCCACAGAAGUGCAUAGCCUACUGAUUCAGGUGACAAUGAAGAGGAACACCUUGCUUCCCCUCACUAUUGUCCCUUGGUGUCCGGGAUCCCUGCUGACAGUACCCCCACACCGAAGCUCCUCCAUCAGUCAUCACAAAGGAGGUGAAGAGUGUAGCAUAGCGGUCCCAUUUCCCUUCCCCUUUGCCAUCUGGUCUUCAAUUGGAAAUGAUAAGAAGUCUCCAGAUGGGAGAUCAUCACCUGGUCCCCAGGGGAGGUUUCAGCCUCUGCCAAUGCCACAUCCUCCCUACUUUUGA
rnacentral:lncRNA from 1 species